rnacentral:lncRNA from 1 species
AAAACAACACUUGAAACAGAUCUAAUCGGCUGUAUGGCGAUAAAUAAGAAUAAUAGUGAUGAAGCCGACAGUUCAAAUCUCAAGCUGGAUAACCGGUAAUAAAACUAGAACAAUAGAUAAAACCUAUAAUUCUAGUAAAUAUCGAUAACUGGUGAAGAAAUCUAAAUGAAACGACAGCAAUGCGCCCGAAGUUAAAACUUAGAUAUUACUCGAUAAACGGAAUUUACAAAUCGGCCAGAGAUCGUGUCGAUGCAGUCCUGCCAAUCCGUACGAACUCGUGAAAAGAAAAGAUUUUUGGCGACGUCGCCGACUUGAUAGUAAAGUGCGAGGAAUAAGUAGAUUUGUUGUAUUGAUUGAUGUAUGUUUUACAAAUCUCUAGAGACGGCUAUUUAUAGCCUGUUACAACUAAUUUCCUAACCACCUAGGAUCUAUCUCUAAUUUUAAUUGAUAACAAAUAUUUACAAACACAACUCGUAUCAGAGUUGGUUAUCGUAUUCCACGGGCCAACCUUUUUCUUUAACUAAUCUUCUACUCCGGCCCACUUUAGUCCCAUACUGGCUAAGCCACUCCAACUUCCAAUCG